AGUUCUAAAUUUUGUACCUUUCAAUCAAAUCAGUACAAUGAGCGUACAGAAGAACUGACAGAGGGGGCACUCUUUUGGAAUCACAGAAAAAUUAAUGGAAUGCCUCGGGCAUUAGUUGCCAGAUUCAGAAAGGCCACAGAGACAGCUGCAGCAGUUUCAAAUGAGAUUCACAGGCUUAAUGUCCCAGAAUCUGUUAUUGAGAAAUGGAGAUCAGAAUUACUGAUCAUUGCAAGAUCCUUAAAUA